AACGACUCUCGGCAACGGAUAUCUCGGCUCUCGCAUCGAUGAAGAACGUAGCGAAAUGCGAUACUUGGUGUGAAUUGCAGAAUCCCGUGAACCAUCGAGUCUUUGAACGCAAGUUGCGCCCGAAGCCUUCGGGCCGAGGGCACGUCUGGCUGGGUGUCACACARCA
rnacentral:rRNA from 1 species